CUCCGCGCACGGGCGACUCCUUCCCAUCUAUGCCGACGCAUCCAUGGCAGCCGUCGCGCCCGCGCCAGAUAUUUCUUCCCAUUUGUGCAGCCGCGCCCGCAAAUCUCGCCUCCCCACGACGCCCUUCCAUCCAUGGCGUCUCGACAUCCUCCGCUCCGCUCCUAGCCCACAACAUCUUUCUUCCCAUCCUCUCCCUCAAAGAUCUCGUCCACUUGGUCUCGCGGCUGCCUUCCCCAACAGCGUCUGCUCAAGGGCUCCGGGCGCUGUCCUCGGGAGAGUACCGCGUCUGCGGGGUGCUCAGCAGCAGGGAGCUCCACUGCUGGCGUUGGCGCGGCCUCAACAUCUCCAGGGACCUCCGGUUCGCCGUCGCCGCCGUGGGGGACAGCUUCGUGUGCGGGAUCCUCAAAGGGACGCCGGCGUCCAUCCGUUGCUCCGGGAACGACACGGCGGCAGCCGCUGUCGCCGGAUUCCAC
rnacentral:misc_RNA from 1 species